rnacentral:tRNA from 1 species
GUAGCGCUGGCCCAUAAAACAAGGGGUUUCCCGCAGCGCACGGUGCCCCUCCUAAGGGGAAGGUCGCACGUUCGAAUCGUGUCGGGGCUGCCA